rnacentral:rRNA from 1 species
AACGAACGCUGGCGGCAGGCUUAACACAUGCAAGUCGAACGCCCCGCAAGGGGAGUGGCAGACGGGUGAGUAACGCGUGGGAAUCUACCUAGUUCUACGGAACAACUGAGGGAAACUUCAGCUAAUACCGUAUACGCCCUACGGGGGAAAGAUUUAUCGGAAUUAGAUGAGCCCGCGUUGGAUUAGCUAGUUGGUGGGGUAAUGGCCUACCAAGGCGACGAUCCAUAGCUGGUCUGAGAGGAUGGUCAGCCACACUGGGACUGAGACACGGCCCAGACUCCUACGGGAGGCAGCAGUGGGGAAUAUUGGACAAUGGGCGCAAGCCUGAUCCAGCCAUGCCGCGUGAGUGAUGAAGGCCUUAGGGUUGUAAAGCUCUUUCAGUGGGGAAGAUAAUGACGGUACCCACAGAAGAAGCCCCGGCUAACUUCGUGCCAGCCGCCGCGGUAAUAC